rnacentral:rRNA from 1 species
UACGGGGGGUGCGAGCGUUGUCCGGAAUCACUGGGCGUAAAGGGCGCGUAGGUGGUCUGAUAAGGGUGUGGUGAAAGCCCGGGGCUCAACCCCGGGUCGGCCGUGCCGACUGUUGGACUAGAGUGCUGUAGGGGCAGGCGGAAUUCCUGGUGUAGCGGUGAAAUGCGCAGAUAUCAGGAAGAACACCAAUGGCGAAGGCAGCUCUCUGGGACGGUACUGACGCUGAGACGCGAAAGCGUGGGGAGCGAACAGG